GACGAACGCUGGCGGCGUGCCUAAUACAUGCAAGUUGAGCGCUGAAGGUUGGUACUUGUACCAACUGGAUGAGCAGCGAACGGGUGAGUAACGCGUGGGGAAUCUGCCUUUGAGCGGGGGACAACAUUUGGAAACGAAUGCUAAUACCGCAUAAAAACUUUAAACACAAGUUUUAAGUUUGAAAGAUGCAAUUGCAUCACUCAAAGAUGAUCCCGCGUUGUAUUAGCUAGUUGGUGAGGUAAAGGCUCACCAAGGCGAUGGUACAUAGCCGACCUGAGAGGGUGAUCGGCCACCUUGGGACUGAGACACGGCCCAAACUCCUACGGGAGGCAGCAGUAGGGAAUCUUCGGCAAUGGACGAAAGUCUGACCGAGCAACGCCGCGUGAGUGAAGAAGGUUUUCGGAUCGUAAAACUCUGUUGGUAGAGAAGAACGUUGGUGAGAGUGGAAAGCUCAUCAAGUGACGGUAACUACCCAGAAAGGGACGGCUAACUACGUG
rnacentral:rRNA from 1 species